CUUCGUCAAAUUGGUGAUAAGGACCAAAAGACCCAGAACCUUGAAGCCUUAUUACAGGAGAGUAAAGAAAAUACUUCUUUCCUAGAAAGGGAAAGAGAAGAUUUUAUGCAAAAAUUCAGGCUGGUGAAGGAGAGACCGCUGUUCUUAAUCAAUCGCAGGAAGAAAACCAUAUAUUACAGGAACAAGUAACUCAACUAAAGGCCCAGGAGAAUUUGCAUGACCAGGUGCAAGAGCAGAAGGCGCUUCUUAGAGCUGCACAAGACUGCGUCCUCUCCCUAGAAGCCAGCAUCAAUGAAUUAAAUAGUCAAUUAAGUGAAAGAAAGGAGAAGGUCUCCCAGCUUGACAUACAGAUUAAAGCCAAAACUGAAUUAUUACUAUCAGCAGAAGCAGCAAAAA